UGAGCCGUGAUAAGAAAACCAGAGGCCGUAAAAAAUCUGGCUACCGUUGCGAACUCCGACCAAGGACAACCUAGGAAAUCGAAAGUACAAACUUGCAAGAUGAUGAGCCGAGUGCUUGUUAGGCGAUUUGCUUCACUAGCUGAGCCAAUUGCUAGGCCAGGUCAAGGGAAAUAUCCUGUUCCAAAUCAUCCUAAUUUUAUUAAAUUGAUGGAAAAGCAAAGACUUUUUUGUCGAGAUGAUGGCCUACUUGUUUGGCAGAAACUGCCUGCUGAUACUCCAUUAUAUAGAGCAGUUGUCUCAAUGGUUUCCUUAGGGGUUCUGUGGUCAGCGUAUCAGCUGUUUGUCUUUGCUUCACCACCCAAGAACAAAUAAAUAGUCUCAAUGUAGUUGAUCGGUGGCUUGCCUGAGUCCAACAAAUGAAAAGAAGAACCAUAGCGGUAAAUUUAAACUUUGGAGAGUGAUUUAGAUGAACACAAUUUAAAAAAAAAAUAAUGACCAUAGUUGAACUAUUUAUUGAGUGGAAUGUCAGUGAAUGAAUGAUAGUUCACUGUGUUGGACAUAAUGUUGAUUACUUUAUAUGAUUAAACUUUUACUUGAAAUGG
rnacentral:sRNA from 1 species